rnacentral:rRNA from 1 species
GAUGAACGCUGGCGGCGUGCCUAACACAUGCAAGUCGAGCGGAAAGGCCCUUCGGGGUAUUCGAUCGGCGAACCGGUGAGUAACACGUGAGUAACCUGCCCUAGACUUUGUGAUAACCCUCGGAAACGGGGGCUAAUACCGUAUACUCCUUCUAAAUCGCAUGCUGUGGUUGGGAAAGUUUUUCGGUCUGUGAUGGACUCGCGGCCUAUCAGCUCGUUGGUGGGGUAAUGGCCUACCAAGGCGAGGAGGGGUAGCCGGCCUGAGAGGGCGACCGGCCACAAUGGGACUGAGACACGGCACAGACUCGUACGGGAGGCAAAAGGGGGGAAUCUUGCACAAUGGGCGGAAGCGUGAUGCAGCGACGCCGCGUGAGGGAAGACGGCUUUCGGGGGAAAAGCCUCUUUCAGCAGGGACGAAGCGUAAGUGACGGUACCUGCAGAAGAAGCGACGGCCAACUACGUG